rnacentral:rRNA from 1 species
AUUGAACGCUGGCGGCAGGCCUAACACAUGCAAGUCGAGCGGAGCGCCAGACGGGUGCGUAAUGCCUAUGAAUCUGCCUGGUAGUGGUGGAUAACGUCCGGAAAUGGGCGCUAAUACCGCAUACUCUCAGAUGAGCCUAUGUCGGAUUAGCUAUUUGGUGGGGUAAAGGACUACCAAGGCGACGAUCCGUAACUGGUCUGAGAGGAUGAUCAGUCACACUGGAACUGAGACACGGUCCAGACUCCUACGGGAGGCAGCAGUGGGGAAUAUUGGACAAUGGGCGAAAGCCUGAUACAGCCAUGCCGCGUGUGUGAAGAAGGUCUUCGGAUUGUAAAGCACUUUCAGCUGGGAGGCGUUACUAACAGAAUAAGCACCGGCUAACUUCGUGCCAGCAGCCGCGGUAAUUC